rnacentral:rRNA from 1 species
CCUACGGGUGGCAGCAGUGAGGAAUAUUGGUCAAUGGACGAGAGUCUGAACCAGCCAAGUAGCGUGAAGGAUGACUGCCCUAUGGGUUGUAAACUUCUUUUAUAUGGGAAUAAAACGUUCCACGUGUGGGAUUUUGUAUGUACCAUAUGAAUAAGGAUCGGCUAACUCCGUGCCAGCAGCCGCGGUAAUACGGAGGAUCCGAGCUUUAUCCGGAUUUAUUGGGUUUAAAGGGAGCGUAGGUGGAUUGUUAAGUCAGUUGUGAAAGUUUCCGGCUCAACCGUAAAAUUGCAGUUGAAACUGGCAGUCUUGAGUACAGUAGAGGUGGGCAGAAUUCGUGGUGUAGCGGUGAAAUGCUUAGAUAUCACGAAGAACUCCGAUUGCGAAGGCAGUUCACUGGACUGAAACUGACACUGAGGCUCGAAAGUGUGGGUAUCAAACAGGAUUAGAUACCCUUGUAGUC